UACGAAGGGGGCUAGCGUUGCUCGGAAUGACUGGGCGUAAAGGGCGCGUAGGCGGACUGCUUUGUCGGGCGUGAAAUUCCAGGGCUCAACCUUGGGGCUGCGUUCGAGACGGGCAUCCUAGAGUUUGGAAGAGGGUCGUGGAAUUCCCAGUGUAGAGGUGAAAUUCGUAGAUAUUGGGAAGAACACCGGUGGCGAAGGCGGCGACCUGGUCCUUGACUGACGCUGAGGCGCGAAAGCGUGGGGAGCAAACAGG
rnacentral:rRNA from 1 species